rnacentral:lncRNA from 1 species
UCGAAAAUCAUUGCUAGAUAGUAUCUUCGAUUAGUGCAGGAAUCGGUUCCUGUGCUACCGGCUUAAUGUUCGAACAUAUGGAGUCACGCACAUAAGUCAGGCGACAUAGAAAAAUAUUGAUCUGUAUUUAUAUAUCCAAUUUGGAAGUAUUUGAUUUGAUUGAACAUAUAAACUAACUUGAUAGAGAAUUAAGUUAUGGGUCA